GCCCCCGUAGCUCAGGGGAUAGAGCAACUGCCUUCUAAGCAGUGGGUCGCAGGUUCGAAUCCUGCCGGGGGCGCCA
rnacentral:tRNA from 2 species